rnacentral:rRNA from 1 species
GUGCCAGCCGCCGCGGUAAUACGUAGGUGGCAAGCGUUGUCCGGAUUUACUGGGCGUAAAGGAUGUGUAGGCGGAUAUUUAAGUUAGAUGUGAAAUCCCCGGGCUUAACUUGGGGGCGGCAUUUCAAACUGGAUGUCUGGAGUGCAGUUGAGGAAAGCAGAAUUCCUAGUGUAGCGGUGAAAUGCGUAGAGAUAAGGAAGAAUACCAGUGGCGAAAGCGGCUUUCU